AGGACGAACGCUGGCGGCGUGCUUAACACAUGCAAGUCGAGCGGAAAGGCCCUUCGGGGUACUCGAGCGGCGAACGGGUGAGUAACACGUGAGUAAUCUGCCCCUAGCUCUGGGAUAGCUCCGGGAAACCGGGAUUAAUACCAGAUACGACCACUUUAGACAUCUGUUGUGGUGGAAAGAAUUUUGGCUAGGGAUGAGCUCGCGGCCUAUCAGCUUGUUGGUGAGGUAACGGCUCACCAAGGCGACGACGGGUAGCCGGCCUGAGAGGGCGACCGGCCACACUGGGACUGAGACACGGCCCAGACUCCUACGGGAGGCAGCAGUGGGGAAUAUUGCGCAAUGGGCGAAAGCCUGACGCAGCGACGCCGGCGUGGGGGAUGAAGGCCUUCGGGUUGUAAACCCUUUCAGCAGGGACGAAGCGAAAGUGACGGUACCUGCAGAGAAGCGCCGGCUAACUACGUGCCAGCAGCCGC
rnacentral:rRNA from 1 species